GAGAACCCCUACACUUACAAUUCAUUCAAUCCCCUCAGGGUGACGGAGGGGAGAGGCUGAACCCCAAGCGCGGGUCACUGGAGGCAGGAUACCCUUUACUGCAGCCCUUUCCCGAGAGAGACACAGCGAGAGCAGGAACACAAGCAGGGGGAGAGGGAGAAGGAGAAGCAGGCCUCCCGUGGAGCAGGGAGCCCGAUGUGGGGCUCAAUCCCAGGACCCUGGGAUCAUGACCUGAGCCGAAGGCAGACGCUCAACCAACUGAGCCACCCAGACUUGUGUCCCGACUCCAGAGGAGAGCAACCAAUGGAGCAAAGCAUGGCAGGCAGAAGAAGAUGAUGGGAGGUAGGUCUGU